rfam:Myotis lucifugus cont2.32466, whole genome shotgun sequence.
AGUGGUUCUCUGGUUAUGCACCCUGGAAUCAGGCUCCCUCCUCUCUGGUUCCAGGUGUGUCACCCAAGAACCGCA